rnacentral:misc_RNA from 1 species
UGGAGGACCUUCUCGCCUUAAGGGUGCCUAGCGCUUUUGACAACACUGACUCCAAGUCCAACGCAAGGUCAUGGGCAAACACAUGCAAUGCAACAACUUAACUUGGACCUGCAUAACUCUUGGUUUAUUAAGAUGAAGUCAAAAAUUUUGGGCACUGAAGAAACAGGCCUACAAAAUUAAAGGUAUAGAUAUAAGAAUGCUGAGAAGGACAUAUGAAAAUAUAACCACCAAGCUCAAAAUGAAUUCUUAUAUAGGAAAGGCGAAAGUGGCAUCAAUUAAGGCAAGUUAUAAGGGGAAAAAUAAGUGGGUGUUUGGUUCACCUUUGGAGAGAGACUGAUAGUUGAUAGAGACCCAAAUAGGUGAAACAAGGUGUUUGGUAACAGAGCUGAUAACUGAUAAACAACUGAUAGGAUAACCUUCGGCUACAGUUUGUAUCAGCUCUAUUUUUAAAGUUGUUUCUCAUUAGUUGAUAGCCGAUUUGAUUUAUUUUUUAUUUAGAUUAUAUUAUCCUUUUAAAAUAUUUAUUGAAUAGAUUAUUUAAAAUUAUAAUAAAAUAAUUAUAAUGUUCACUUUAUAUAUAUACUUAAAAACAAUAAUUAUACUUGUUAUAGGAAGUCAAUCCUAUAAUUAUGUAAAUAAUAUUCUUUCUUAAUUAGUUAGCUAAUUAGUUAGCAUAAUUAGUGGGAUAUCACCCCAAUUAGAAUACUUAAUUAUAGGAUCCUUUGUAUAUAAAUACCUUGUAUCUCAUUCAAUAAAAUAAACAGAAAUAUAUUCACUUCAAUAAUAAAACUUGAAAUGCAGGCAGUUAAAUUUAUACAUUGAAAACAUCUAAUACUAUUUGGUAAAACAGCAUGUAUAAUUAAGUUACUCAGUUUUAGGAUUCUGUUAUAGAUUAUUGAGCAUCAGAAAAUCUAAUCUUAGGUUGUACAUCUUAUUCAUUUUUUUUUCUUUGUUCUUGUGAUUUUGUUUUAAAUAGAUUUACUAGGACCUUUGUUUUGAAAUUUGAUAUUGACUGAUGAAGAUUCUGUCUGUGUAGGUUAUAUAUGAAGAUCUCCCAUCAAACUUAUGUGCAAUUCGAGAUUAUAUUGAGAGAAGGGAAGAUACAAACUCAGUAGAAAUGAAUGAGCCCACGCAAUAUUCCAAGGAACUAGAUCCAUCUAAUGGUAUGGGAGAUACUGAGUAUAGCAAGAAAAUUGUGAAGGUUAUUGAUUUGAAUAACCCAAAUUCACAAAGACAAAGACCUAGGGUUCCUGGCCUGCAGAGGAAUAUUGAAGUUCUGAAGUCUGAGCUCCUGAAGUUUAUAUCAGAACAUGGACAAGAAGGAUUUAUGCCCAUGAGAAAGCAGCUUCGUCUGCAUGGUAGGGUAGAUAUUGAGAAGGCUAUAACACGCAUGGGUGGAUUUAGAAGGAUUGCAACGUUGAUGAAUCUUUCUCUUGCAUACAAGCGCCGGAAACCAAAGGGAUACUGGGAUAAUCUCGAGAAUUUGCAGGAAGAGGUAGCAUCUUAACUUUAAUUGAGCUGUUAGUUGUCAAUGUUUACUGAUCUUCUGUAGCUUUGACAAAUUUUAAUAUGCUAAUAUUAUAUUUUAGGUGCAUAAUGAACUUGUGUCUUGGAGACAACAGAAAGUAGAAAAUAAUCUUCCAAAAGAAUUGCCACAGCUAUUCUCUUGGACAAUGAUAAAUAAAAAUUAUAUAUAGAGAGAGAGAAGAAUUGAUAAUUUUCUGAAGUAGUUUGUUCAUUACUAGCAAUAAAUGUUUGCAGGGAUUUAGUGUUUGAAAUAAAAAAUAACAUAGAAAGUGCAUGAGAUUUGGAGCAUGAUGAUUAGGAUUUGCAGAUGUUUGCAAUUAAUGGUUGGUAACUUGCUGUUGGGAUGAUUUCCUUAGUAAAAUUUAUUGCUAAAAAAACCUGUGGCUUGUCAUUUCUCAUUUUACUUAUAUUAAGAAAACAUAGGAUUUUAACCAAAAUUUUUGUAGAAAAAAAAAGCAAUCAAAGUAACUGGUCGAUUCAAAAAGAAUUCAAUCAAUCAUCCCUAUGGGCACAUUUGAUUGAUUUAAGUAUCUCAUUGUGUAUGAUGAUUCUUCGAGUUUAAUUACAGCACUUCAAUGCACUUCUCAUCAAUACAGAUUAAUAGAUUUCAAAGGAGCUGGGGAAUGGACCCUUCAUUUAUGCCAAGCAGAAAAUCCUUUGAGCGGGCUGGUAACUUAAUUAGAAGCUCUUUGGACUGCAGUUUUAGAACUAUAUGGAAUGAUAUUUUCUUUUUCUUAUAUUUUUCUAUAAUUUGUUGUUUACAAAUGUUACAGGGCGUUAUGAUAUUGCGCGAGCAUUGGAGAAAUGGGGGGGACUCCAUGAAGUUUCCCGUCUUCUAGCUCUAAAGGUGAGGCACCCUAAUAGGCAGGCAAAUGUUGUUAAGGAUAAGAAAAAUGAUCAUGUGGCAUUUACUAAUGUGGAAGGAGAAGAUAGCAUUUCAUCAAAACCAUAUGUAUCACAAGAUACACAAAAAUGGCUCAUGAAAUUGAAAGAUUUAGACAUUAACUGGGUUGAACGAGGAUGUUAGUUGAUUGCCCCUCAUAAUCCUUAUCUUACAAUCUCUUUGCCACAGCUUCGUAAUUGCUUUGAUAUAUCAUAUCUUUUCUAUCAGACAACACGUAUUGAUUUUCCCCUCUAAAUUCUUUUCUUUGCAAAAUUCAGUCAUUGUGAUCUUAUGAAAAUUGAAAAUUAAUUGUUACCCAUUUUCCAGAGUGCAAAGUUAUUUGGGUGGUCUAAUUUAUACUAGUCAUGAGCUUUUUUAUUUGUUGUUAUUUUUAUAUUCUGUUCAAUUUUGUAGAGAAAAGAUAAAAAAGGAUAAUUGUUGUGUAAAAUUUUUGUUUUUAAUGAUUUCGUAUAAUCUGAAUGUUUUGGUUAUUAAA